rnacentral:rRNA from 1 species
CCCUUAGACGUUCUGGGCCGCACGCGCGCUACACUGACCAGUGCAACAAGCAUCCGUCCUUGGCCGACAGGCCCGGGCAAUCUUUGAACGCUGGUCGUGAUGGGGAUAGACUUUUGCAAUCUUUGGUCUUCAACGAGGAAUUCCUAGUAAACGCAAGUCAUCAACUUGCAUUGAUUACGUCCCUGCCCUUUGUACACACCGCCCGUCGCACCUACCGAUUGAAUGGUCCGGUGAAGCCUCCGGAUUGGCGCGCACCUCGGUGCCGCCGAGAAGUUGGCUAAACCUUACCAUUUAGAGGAAGGUGAAGUCGUAACA